AGAGUUGAUCAUGGCUCAGAGCGAACGCUGGCGGCAAGGCCUAACACAUGCAAGUCGAACGGAUCCUUCGGGAUUAGUGGCGGACGGGUGAGUAACACGUGGGAACGUGCCUUUUGGUUCGGAACAACUCAGGGAAACUUGAGCUAAUACCGAAUGUGCCCUUCGGGGGAAAGAUUUAUCGCCAUUAGAGCGGCCCGCGUCUGAUUAGCUAGUUGGUGGGGUAAAGGCUCACCAAGGCUACGAUCAGUAGCUGGUCUGAGAGGAUGAUCAGCCACAUUGGGACUGAGACACGGCCCAAACUCCUACGGGAGGCAGCAGUGGGGAAUCUUGCGCAAUGGGCGAAAGCCUGACGCGGCCAUGCCGCGUGAAUGAUGAAGGUCUUAGGAUUGUAAAAUUCUUUCACCGGGGACGAUAAUGACGGUACCCGGAGAAGAAGCCCCGGCUAACUUCGUG
rnacentral:rRNA from 1 species